rnacentral:rRNA from 1 species
GAUGAACGCUGGCGGCGUGCUUAACACAUGCAAGUCGAACGGAAAGGCCCAAGCUUGCUUGGGUACUCGAGUGGCGAACGGGUGAGUAACACGUGGGUGAUCUGCCCUGCACUUCGGGAUAAGCCUUGGAAACUGGGUCUAAUACCGGAUAGGACCACAUUUUGGAUGGUGUGGUGGAAAGUUUUUCGGUGUGGGAUGAGCUCGCGGCCUAUCAGCUUGUUGGUGGGGUAAUGGCCUACCAAGGCGUCGACGGGUAGCCGGCCUGAGAGGGUGUACGGCCACAUUGGGACUGAGAUACGGCCCAGACUCCUACGGGAGGCAGCAGUGGGGAAUAUUGCACAAUGGGCGCAAGCCUGAUGAAGCGACGCCGCGUGGGGGAUGACGGCCUUCGGGUUGUAGACUACUUUCGCUAGGGACGAAGCGCAAGUGACGGUACCUGGAGAAGAAGCACCGGCUAACUACGUG